rnacentral:tRNA from 1 species
UGCGGGGUAGCUCAGUGGUAGAGCAGCGGCCUCAUACGCCGAAGGUCGUCGGUUCGAUUCCGACCCCCGCUACCA